rnacentral:rRNA from 1 species
AGUGAACGCUGGCGGUAGGCCUAACACAUGCAAGUCGAACGGCAGCACAGUAAGAGCUUGCUCUUACGGGUGGCGAGUGGCGGACGGGUGAGGAAUACAUCGGAGUCUACUUUUUCGUGGGGGAUAACGUAGGGAAACUUACGCUAAUACCGCAUACGACCUACGGGUGAAAGCAGGGGAUCUUCGGACCUUGCGCGAUUGAAUGAGCCGAUGUCGGAUUAGCUAGUUGGCGGGGUAAAGGCCCACCAAGGCGACGAUCCGUAGCUGGUCUGAGAGGAUGGUCAGCCACACUGGAACUGAGACACGGUCCAGACUCCUACGGGAGGCAGCAGUGGGGAAUAUUGGACAAUGGGCGCAAGCCUGAUCCAGCCAUACCGCGUGGGUGAAGAAGGCCUUCGGGUUGUAAAGCCCUUUUGUUGGGAAAGAAAAGCAGCAGGUUAAUACCCCGCUGUUCUGACGGUACCCAAAGAAUAAGCACCGGCUAACUUCGUG